rnacentral:rRNA from 1 species
GUACGGGGUGUUAGGGCACGACACCGGAGAGGGAGCCUGAGAAACGGCUACCACAUCCAAGGAAGGCAGCAGGCGCGCAAAUUACCCAAUCCCGACAUGGGGAGGUAGUGACAAUAAAUAACAAUACAGGGUUCUUUUGGAUCUUGUAAUUGGAAUGAGUACAAUUUAAAUCUCUUAACGAGGAACAAUUGGAGGGCAAGUCUGGUGCCAGCAGCCGCGGUAAUUCCAGCUCCAAUAGCGUAUAUUAAAGUUGUUGCAGUUAAAAAGCUCGUAGUUGAACUUCGGGAUCAAUUAGUUGGUCAUGCCUUGGUAUGUACUGAUUUUAUUGGUUCACACCUUCUAAAGAACUAUAAUGUCAUUUAUUUGAUGUUAUAGGGAAUUAGGACUGUUACCUUGAAAAAAUUAGAGUGUUUAAAGCGGGCUCACGCUUGAAUACAUUAGCAUGGAAUAAUGAAAUAGGACAUCGCAUUCUAUUUUGUUGGUUUCUAGGAUCGAUGUAAUGAUUAAUAGGGAUAGUUGGGGGCAUUAGUAUUCAAUUGUCAGAGGUGGAAUUCUUGGAUUUAUUGAAGACUAACUACUGCGAAAGCAUUUGCCAAGGAUGUUUUCAUUAAUCAAGAACGAAAGUUAGGGGAUCGAAGACGAUCAGAUACCGUCGUAGUCUUAACCAUAAACUAUGCCGACUAGGGAUCGGAUGAUG